GACGAACGCUGGCGGCGUGCUUAACACAUGCAAGUCGAACGGAAAGGCCCUGCUUUUGUGGUGUGCUCGAGUGGCGAACGGGUGAGUAACACGUGAGUAACCUGCCCUUGACUUUGGGAUAACUUCAGGAAACUGGGGCUACUACCGGAUAGGAGCUCCUGCUGCAUGGUGGGGUUGGAAAGUUUCGGCGGUUGGGGAUGGACUCGCGGCUUAUCAGCUUGUUGGUGGGGUAGUGGCUUACCAAGGCUUUGACGGGUAGCCGGCCUGAGAGGGGGAACGGCCACAAUGGGACUGAGAGACGGACCAGACUCCUACGGGAGGCAGCAGUGGGGAAUAUUGCACAAUGGGCGGAAGCCUGAUGCAGAAACGCCGCGUGCGGGAUGACGGCCUUCGGGUUGUAAACCGCUUUAGCCUGUGACGAAGCGUGAGUGACGGUAAUGGGUAAAGAAGCACCGGCUAACUACGUG
rnacentral:rRNA from 1 species